UACGUAGGGGCAAGCGUUGUCCGGAUUUAUUGGGCGUAAAGAGCGUGUAGGCGGCCAUUCAGGUCAGCUGUGAAAACUCGAGGCUCAACCUCGAGACGUCGGUUGAAACCGUUUGGCUAGAGUCCGGAAGAGGAGAGUGGAAUUCCCGGUGUAGCGGUGAAAUGCGCAGAUAUCAGGAGGAACACCAAUGGCGAAGGCAGAUCUCUGGGCCGUAACUGACGCUGAGGAGCGAAAGCAUGGGGAGCGAACAGG
rnacentral:rRNA from 1 species